AUCCCAUGACGAGGACAUUUACGAAGUAAUUCCUUGAAUCUUUCCCACGCCUCUUACAAGGACCCGUCAUCCAAUUGUUGGAAGGUAGUUAUCUCAUUACGCAACUU
rfam:Gossypium hirsutum cultivar TM-1 chromosome 9, whole genome shotgun sequence